rnacentral:rRNA from 1 species
GCCAGACUCCUACGGGAGGCAGCAGUGAGGAAUAUUGGUCAAUGGGCGAGAGCCUGAACCAGCCAAGCCGCGUGAAGGACGAAGGUGCCAAGCAUUGUAAACUUCUUUUGUCAAGGGACAAAAUCAGGCUCGAGAGCCUGACCGAGGGUACUUGAAGAAAAAGCAUCGGCUAACUCCGUGCCAGCAGCCGCGGUAAUACGGAGGAUGCGAGCGUUAUCCGGAUUUAUUGGGUUUAAAGGGUGCGUAGGCGGACGCUUAAGUCAGCGGUAAAAUUGCGGGGCUCAACCUCGUCGAGCCGUUGAAACUGGGUGCCUUGAGUGGGCGAGAAGUACGCGGAAUGCGUGGUGUAGCGGUGAAAUGCAUAGAUAUCACGCAGAACUCCGAUUGCGAAGGCAGCGUACCGGCGCCCAACUGACGCUGAAGCACGAAGGCGUGGGUAUCGAACAGGAUUAGAUACCCUUGUA